UACGGAGGGUGCAAGCGUUUGUCCGGAAUCACUGGGCGUAAAGGGCGCGUAGGCGGCUCAUGAAGGCUGUGGUGAAAGUCCGGGGCUCAACCUCGGAUCGGCCGUGGCGACUCGUGGGCUGGAGCACUGUAGAGGCGGGUGGAAUUCCGGGUGUAGCGGUGGAAUGCGUAGAGAUCCGGAAGAACACCAGUGGCGAAGGCGGCCCGCUGGGCAGUGGCUGACGCUGGAGGCGCGACAGCGUGGGAGCAAACAGG
rnacentral:rRNA from 1 species